rnacentral:rRNA from 1 species
UUGGAGGGCAAGUCUGGUGCCAGCAGCCGCGGUAAUUCCAGCUCCAAUAGCGUAUAUUAAAGUUGUUGCAGUUAAAAAGCUCGUAGUUGAAUUUCGGUGUUUAUCGGUUGGUCGGGCUUCACUGUCCGCACUGACCUGAUUGAUUCCUACCUUCUGAAUAACCAGCAUGCUAUUAAGUUAGUGCGUUGGGGAAGCAGAGCUACUACCUUGAAAGAAUUAGAGUGCUUAAAGCAGGCUUAUGCUUGAAUAGAUUAGCAUGGAAUAAUAAAAUAGGACGGCAUGGUUCUAUUUUGUUGGUUUCUAGGAUCACCGUAAUGAUUAAUAGGGAUAGUUGGGGGCAUUAGUAUUCAAUUGUCAGAGGUGAAAUUCUUGGAUUUAUUGAAGACUAACUUCUGCGAAAGCAUUUGCCAAGGAUGUUUUCAUUAAUCAAGAACGAAAGUUAGGGGAUCGAAGACGAUCAGAUACCGUCGUAGUCUUAACCAUAAACUAUGCCGACUAGGGAUCGGACGAUGUUAAUUUUUUAAUGACUCGUUCGGCGCCUUACGGGAAAC